rfam:Medicago truncatula strain A17 chromosome 7, whole genome shotgun sequence.
AUACCUUUUUCGGCCUUUUCACUAAGAUCAAAUCUAGUAUCUGUUCUUAUUGGUUUAAUAUCUGAUAUGUGGUCUAAUGAGUCAAACGAUAUUAAAUUACUUUUUUGAGGGGGAGAAGACACCUCAAUAGUUUGCUGUUGGGCUUCUCAUGUGUCGCUCAUGCGUUGCACUAUUGCAUGAGCAUGUCACACCCCAC